ACAGAGACUGAUUUUAUAUGUCUUGUGAUUUUGUGUGUGUGUGUGUAUAAAAUAAUGUAAUUACAUCUAUAUGUGUGUGUGUGUAUACACUAUUUUCUCUGGCGUCCUUAUAUACUUCUACAUAAGUACCUAGCCCAGUGCCAGUAGGCAGUUGCAUUUUUCCUUAAGAAACAUCAAACUGUUAUUUAAAUGGGCAGUUUUCUUUAUUUAGGUUAGCAGUAUAAUUUAAAGCAGGUUGAUCAAUGCAUUUCCCCUUGAAUGACUAAAUUACAAAACGCCAUCUGGAAUUCCACCUCUACCCUCCAGUCUUAAAGCCAAAAUGUGUUUAAGUGGUACCCAGGUAACUGACAGGAUCCCUGCGGCAGUUUGAGACAUAAUUCAAAACCAAAUACUCCUUACAGGCCACUGGUCUAAAGGAGAACAGUCAGGAAUUCCCAAGACUAUUAAGUUGUAUUAGUGAAUGUGAAGGAAAAUAAGAUCUUGGAACUUGACUGAAAAUAUAUUUAAGGCAAUGAGAGGGUAAGAAAGAGAGAGGUGAUAAAAUUCUUUGAAAGCAUAUUUUCAAAGGAAUGCUGUCACAUAUUUAAUAUACAGCUUGAAAUCUUUCUUGUCCUGGUGACAAAUGCAUAUCUAAGCCAAGAUUACUGUUUUAUUUCAUUUUAUCUGUUCCUUAACACAGUAAUAUCCAUACUGAUGACGAAUCCUGGAAAGCAUCAUUCUGAUACAUUAGGAAAUCAUUGCCUGCCUAUUAAGUAGCCAAAAUAUAACAGACGAGUACCUCUGGAAAGGUCACGCUCUCGCCACAAUGGAGCUAUCUCAUCUAAGUGAUUACUGAUGCCAAAGAAUAUGAAAAAUAUUUAAGUAAACAAAAUCAUGUAUUUUGAGAAGAACAAAGCAUGCAGGCAAGGGAUGGAAAGGAAAUAAGUGCAUUUCUGCAAAGAUCAAGCUAAGCUGAAUGAAAUAGUGUGCAUUUGUAAAACUAUUGCAAGACUCCUCUUACAAUUAUAUUGAUAUGAACACAAUUAUCAAAAUUUUGAAACAUGUAUUACAUUUUAUUGUAAAGAUGUGUAUUCUUUGUUAUUGUGCAUGACCUGAUGGUGAUAGUGAAAGUGUAACACACUGAAGAGAGCUAAAGCUUUUGGAAAACAUUCAGUUUGUCAAAAAUUUACAAACUUAUUCAAAUUUGCAGGUCACCAAAAAAAGGAGGAAAAGAAAAGAAAAAGAAUAGAAAAAAAGAAUUAUUCGAUUCCUGGUUCCAAUCCCUGUUAUAUAAAAAAAGGAAAAGACCAACAAAAAUGUGCAUGUUAAUGAUUUUGGAUAGGUGCUAAUAUUGCACACACUGUAAGAGAAGCCAUUUCAGAAAUUCAAAAAAGAACUGCUUAACCCCAGUCAAGUUAUUUAGAAUCUUAUCUCAAGUGAAAGCUGAUGGAUUCAUCUGCUUUGGCUGAAAUUAAACUUAUCAUUAAUCUAGAGUUUCAGCAUAUUGCAGGCACUUAACGUUGCUGAAAAUAAACCAAAGUUUAACAGAAUCAGUUAGAGAAAGUGAUUUUAACUUUAUCUAAAGAGGUAUUUUCUAAUUAUGCACAUAUAUCUACUUUAUACAAAUACUUUAUACAGCUAUUUUUGCGAACAACCUCACAUUUUAAUGUUUAUGCUAGGGAUGAAUCUGAAAAUUCUAUUACCUUUAUUUAGAUUUUAAAGGCAAAUAUUGAUCCCUGUUCUCCAUGAUUUAUUCCCUCUCUCUUUCUUCUUUCUCGCCUGACCCCCUUGAAGGUGGGGAAUAAAGUUCUAGAAGACCUGAGAGGAAAAAGAUUUCUCUCUGCAAGAGGCAGCAGAAAACUGUCUGAAAGGUCAAUUGUUUUAUUCUGCCUUUCUACUCCCUUCUCCAAUUCUGCUUUGGUGGUCUGAAGAAGAAGAGGAAAUUAUGUGUAUGUAUGUGUAUAUAUGUGUAUAUAUUUAUAUCUCCUCCUACAGUGAUUCCAUAUCCCCGUAACUAAGUGAAUUUCUCCAUCAUCAUCGUAUUUACUUACUUAUAUUAACAAAUUAAAAUGAUACUUCCAAAAACACUCUAGGAGGAAAAACAGUCUCUAUAUCUUUCUUAAAUAGAUGAGGGAGUAAAAGUUAUGCUUAACGUCUCUUAUUUUAAGAUAUGCAUUGAAAUAGUGUGGUAUAACUGCUCUGGAAUUAUACAAUUUUAAAACUAAUUCACGCAGAUGAUUGUGACUAUUGUAAAAGAUUUCUUAUAUGUAUAUUUCUUAUAUAGAAAAUCCUAUUUCUUUUCCUCCAAAGCACAUUAUAGGCAUUCAAAAAGAACAACAGAUGACUGGCUUGGCAAGUCACCAUCCGAGAAAACCUGAAGAAAUGACCAAUACUCACAGAUUCCUUCAUAUAGAUGUAUAAUGAUUCAAACUGCUGCCUUUUCCUCCAGUGCAUUUUUACUUGCAUAUUGUACUUCACCCAAACUCUCUGAAGCUACUACAGUAGAGAAAUUAGAGAGUAACUAUAUCUGAGAUUUUACAGGUUUUUUCUUAUCUGAAAACACACACAUACACAUACACAACUGUAAGGGGCAUAUCAAUUUCACACGGUUUUUAACAACAAAAAUUUAGAUUCUGUUAAUUUAUGUAAGUAUCAAAUCAUGUGUUUUUGACUUUACAAAGUCUUUUUUGAAAUCUUCAUGAUAUGGCUUCUUUGAGUCUUUUGAUAGCUUUUCAGGCUGUAGAAAAUAGUAUUUUGAAAUGUUAAACCUGACUAAAAUUUGGGGGCAUUUGCCAUGCCAUGCUAUCAAACUGGUAAGGGUAGAAAGGGUGACAUGUAUCACCUUUUCCAAAUGUGAACUUGCCUUAUUUUGUAGUUUGUAAAAAAGAAAGAAUAGAGCAUUAUUAUUGAUAAAUUAUAUAUUUGUAUUUAGCGUAAUCCCACGUGCUUUUCUCAAAUAUUUAAAAACAAAAAAACUUUCAGGGUCCCUCCAUGAAGUUCCAAGAAUUGAGUUUGCUUCCCAGAUUUAUAAUGGUCCUGCUCUAGGCAUUUGCAGUUUUGUUUUAGAUUGCAAAGUAUCACCAGAAAAGAACAUAAUGACAUUUUUAGCAUAGGACCAAAUUAUACCAAAGUCUUACACUGGAUUCAUUACAACACAUGAGAAGUACCAGUGGGCAGAUUUUCUGUAAAAUGUUAAAAAAAAAAAAAAAGUGCAAAACCCGUAUAAAACAUUUACUAGUUGGAUUCAUUUCCUGUGGCUGCUAUAACAAAUUACAAAAAAACUUUGUGGCUCAACACAGCAGAAAUUUAUUCCCUCACAGUUCUAGAGGCCAGAAGUUCAAAAUCAAGGUGUCUGCAAGGCUGCGCUCUCUCCAGAGGCUCUAAGGUAGAAUCCUUCCUUGCCUCUUUCAGGAUAUGCUAAUUGUCAGAAUUCCUUAUCUUGUGGCCACAUCACUCCAGUCUCUACCUCCAUUGCCACAUUGCCUCCUCCUCCUCUUCUCUUCUCAAAACCUCUGCCUCUCUCUUAUAAGGAUACAUGUGAUUGCAUUUAGGGUCAAACUCAGGAGAAGCUCCCCAUCCCAAGAUCUUUAAUUUACUCACAUCUUUUGCCAUAUAGGGUAACACCCACAGGUUCUGGAGAUUAGGACAGGGACAUAUAUUUGGGGGCCGAGGGGCACCAUUCAACUACUAGAGCCUUUCUCUGGUCCUGGAAAAUCCAUGUCUGUCCUGCAUACAAAAUACAUUUACUCAUUCCAACAUCCCCCAAAAUCUCAACCCAGUAGUACAGUGUCAGCUCUAGGUCCAAAUUGCCAUCUAAGUCACAUGAACUCAAAAGAGUCCCAAAAAGCAUCAUCUAAAUCUUCUAAAUCAUAUAUGGGUGAAACUCAUUGUAUGAUCCAUUCUGGGGCAAAAUUCCUCUCCAUCUGUGAACCUAUGAGACUGGAAAACAAGCUAUCUUCUUCCAAAAAUACAGUGGUGGGACAGGCCUAGUAUAACAGUUACAGGCAUGUCUCCUCCUAAAGACAAAAGACGGAAGGUCGAAAGGAGUCACUGGUCCCAAGCAAUUUUAAAAUCUAACAGGGCAAUUUCCAUUAGGUUUCAAGGCCUGGGAAUAAUUCCUGGUGGCUCGCAGCUCCACGCUUUGCACCUGCGGCUCACAUCUCUGUCUCUGUGCCUAUUACUUAUGUCUCUGCCUCUGGAUCUACUGCUCAGACUGCUGCCUCUGUGCCCCAGCACUGCCCUCAGGGUGAUCCUUCCAUUUUCUUGAAGGAUAACAUGUUUGCACCUGAGUAGUUUUAUCAGUUAUCAGCCUAUUUCCUGCCUGUAGAAUUUUGGGAGUCUGACAACCUUCUUUCAUUUUUGGAGGCCCUAGGUGAGAUUCCAUUCCUUUACCUUUUCCAGCUUCUGGUGGCUGCCAGAAUUCCUUGGCUUAUAGCCAAAUCACUCUGCUCCAUCUUCACACCACAUUCUCCUCUGUGUGUGUAAAUCCACUCUGCCUCUCUCUUAUAAAGACACUUGUUACAGCAUUUAGAGCCCAUCUAGAUAAUCCAAGAACACCUCCUCAUCUCAAGAUCCUAAACUUAAUUACAUCUGCAAAGACCCUUUUUUCCCCAAAUACGGUAACACCCACAGGUUCUGGGGAAUAGCAUGAGGACAUGAUAUUUUGGAGGCCAUCAUUCAGCCCACCUUCUGGCACCCCAAAAUUCAUUACCAUCUCACAUGCAAAAUAUAUUCACCCCAUCCCAACAUCCCCAACAGACACAACCCAUUGCAGCACAAACUCUAAAUCCAAAAUCUCAUCUAAAUAUCGCCAACUCCAAAAGAUCCAAAUUGACUAUGGGUGAAACUCAUUGUAUGCUCCAUCCUGGACAAAAUUCCUCUCUAUCUAUGAACUUGUGAAACUAGAAAGCAACUUAUCUGUUUCUAAAAUGCGGUGAUGUGACAGGCAAAGGAUAACAGUUACAGGCAUGCCUAUCCCAAAAGGAAGAAAAUGGCAAGUAGGAAGGGAGUCACCAGUCAUAAGCAUUUUCAGAAUCUAUCAGGGCAAAUUCCAUUAGGUAUCAAGGCCUGGGAAAAAUCCUCUGCCCCAGGCUUCUGCCUCUGUACCCACAGCUCAGAGUAAUCCUUCCUUUUUCUUGAAGUAUAGCACCUGCUUUCAUCUGAGCAGUUUUAUCAGCCUGUUUCCUGCCUGUAAUUUCAGGAUUCCUACAGCCUUCUUUCAUUUCAUCCUAUCUCUGUCCCUUUCAGUCUAUCCUAGAAGUAUUUCUGCUAGUAUAGCAUUCUCAGGUAUAGCCAUCCUGAGUAUGUUAUGGGGAUUCACACCAUUAGACAGGAGGGUCCUCUGAAGAUAGUUCCUGGCUCCUCCUGGAAUGGUUGAGUGGAUCCAUGAGUCACACACCUAAUCUCUUCAGCACAACUCAAAAGUUAUCCAGCCAUACCCUUGACCUUCUCUCCAGAACACACUUUCCUAACAGUAAAUCUCCUAAUUUUAAUAUAUUUUGCAAUCUGGAUGGGCUCAGAAUUUCCCAAGUCAUCAAGUGCUCAUUCCUUUUUGCAAAUUCAGUUCCUUUCUCAAUUUGUCCCCUUUCUCUCUCGUUUAUACUAUAAGUAGCAAGAAGAAACCAGGCCACACCCUUAACACUGUGCUUGGAGAUCUCCUGAGCUAAUUACCCAAGUUCAUUACUUACAAGUUCUGCUGUCCACAUAACUGUAGGAAACAAUUCAGCCAAGUUUUCUGCCACUAUAUAACACGAAUCAACUUUCCUCCACUUUCCAAUAACAUGUGCCUCAUUUCCUUCUGAGCCCUCACCAAAAUUGCCUUCAAUGUCCAUAAUUCUACUUAUAGUCUCUUCAAGGCAAUUUAGACAUUUUCUAUCAGGUGCCUCAAAAGUCUUCCAGCCUUUACCCAUUAUCUAAUUCCAGAGCUACUUCCACAUUUGUAGAUACUUGCUACAGCAGCACUCCACCUCCUGGUACCUGAAUCUGUAUUAGUCCUGUGACUGUCAUAAAAAAUUAUCACAAUAAUUAAAACAAGAAAAAUUUAUCCUCUCACAGUUCAGGAGGCCCAAAGUUCAAAAUCAAGGUGUGGCAGGACCACACUCCCUCUUGAGGCUCUAGUGGAGAACUGGUUUCUUGUCUCUUCCAGCUUCUCGUGGCUGCCAGCAAUCCUUGGCUUGUGGCUUCAUUUCUCCCUGCUCUGUCUUUCCAUCACCUUCUCCUCUGUUUAAUCUCCCUCUGCCUCUUUCUUAUAAGGAUCCUUGUGAUGGCAUUUAGGGUGCACCCAGAUUAUCCAUGAUCAUUUCCUUAUUCACGGUCCUUAACCUAAUUACUUCUGCAAAGACCCUUUUCUUCAAAUAAGGUAACAUUCACAGGUUCUGGGGAUAGGAAGUGGCCAUGUCUUUUUGAGGUUUCCAUUCAGUCAUUCAGCAAUGACAUUAGUCAUUGCACAUAAAUGUACUUUUCACUUUUAAAAAUGCAUCCUUUGUAUUCAAGCCAGAUUUAAGGUUGUCUCUAAAGCUGUUGUCUGCAAAGGCUACUGCAUGCUUUGAUGCUAAUGGAUGAAGAGGCUAUUCUAAAUUUUGGUUGAUACUUUUGCCACCGUGUCCGAUUAGCUUGAAAAAACUAAUUGAUCUGAGCUCUGGUGUAUCUCUUCUGCCCUAUUUAUGGAGUCUUUGACCAAAUGUCUUCUGCAAUUCGUAAUGCAGGCACAAAGCUACCUCUAGUAUAGAGAGAUUAUUACAGGCUUAUUUUAGAUGUUAUGGAUCCCUCAGCUGAAAGUAGAGGUGACAGCAAAGUCUGCUUUGAAUUGGUAUUGAAGGAGAUUGUGCCCAUACCAACUCACCAAAAAGGUAUUUCAAUUGCUGUAGAACUGUGGAUAUGUGCUCUCAUUUCACCUUGGAAUAAACACUUGUCACUAAGCAGGACCAAGAAUAACUUGUGAUCUAUAUGUAAUGCAUUCUUAUUCAAUAAAGUUAAGAUAUACAUUAAA